rnacentral:tRNA from 2 species
UCCGCUCUGGUGUAAUGGCAGCACGGCGCCCUUUGGAGGCGUCCGGUCUAGGUUCGAAUCCUAGGGGCGGAGCCA